rnacentral:rRNA from 1 species
GGAUUAUACAUGCUAGCCUCCACACCCCCGUGACUUAUAGUAUCAGGCACGCACUAUUGCCGCCCCUAACACUAAGCUCUUCAUGCCACACCCCCACGGUUACACAGCAGUAAUAAACCUUGAACAAUGGACACAAGUCCGAUUCAGCCACAUCUCAACUUAACGCUGGUAAAUUUCGUGCCAGCUACCGCGGUUAUACGAACCAAGCUAAAAGUAAUAUUGACGGCGUAAAGUACGGCUAGAAUUAAGCCUCCCCCAUUAAAGCCCAAUCACUACUUAAUGGUCAAAUCUUUAAGCUCACAGAACACAACACUUUAAUCUCACCGCUAUUUAACCCGUGACACCAAGGACACAAACUGGGAUUAGAUACCCCACUAUGCCACGACGUAAACCACGACCCCCCCCCUCCGCCUGAAAAUUACGGGCACAUUUUAGCCUAAAACUCAAAAGACUUGACGGUGCCCCAACCUACCUAGAGGAGCCUGUUCCAUAAUCGAUAACCCCCGAUCAACCCGACCACCCCUUGUAUUUCCAGCCUAUAUACCGCCGUCAUCUUUAGCUUACCUUUUGAAAGCUUUACCGUAAGCACAAUUGUUUAAAACUAAAAAGUCAGGUCAAGGUGUAGCUAAUGCGGUGGCGCCAAUGGGCUACAUUAUCUGCAACAGAUAACUUUACGGCUUUGUCUUUGAAACAAGACACUAAAGGCGGAUUUAGCAGUAAAUUAAGCAAUUGUACUUACUUUAACACCUGCUCUGGGACAUGUACACACCGCCCGUCACCCUCCUCAGAAUAUACAACACACUCUAUAAAAACCCCAAUACAAAAAGAUGAGGCAAGUCGUAACACGGUAAG